rnacentral:rRNA from 1 species
GAGUACCUACGGGGCGCAGCAGUGGGGGAUAUUGCACAAUGGGGGAAACCCUGAUGCAGCGACGCCGCGUGAGUGAAGAAGUAUUUCGGUAUGUAAAGCUCUAUCAGCAGGGAAGAAAAAAGACGGUACCUGACUAAGAAGCCCCGACUAACUACGUGCCAGCAGCCGCGGUAAUACGUAGGGGGCAAGCGUUAUCCGGAUUUACUGGGUGUAAAGGGAGCGUAGACGGCUGAGCAAGUCAGAAGUGAAAGCCCGGGGCUCAACCCCGGGACUGCUUUUGAAACUGCGGAGCUGGAGUGCAGGAG